GGCAAUCCGCUCCGGUGUGUUUCCAUGCUGUGGGAGGUUUGUUCUUUCGCUCUUCACAAUAAAUCUUGCUGCUGCUCACUGUGGGUCCACACUACCUUUAUGAGCUGUAACACUCACCUUGAAGGUCUGCAGCUUCGCUCCUGAAGUUAGCAAAACCACGAACCCACCGGAGGAAUGAACAACUCCGGGCAUGCCACCUUUAAGAGCUGUAACACUCACUGCGAAGGUUUGUGGCUUCACUCCUGAAGUCAGCAAGACCACGAACCCGCCAGAAGGAAGAAACCGGACACAUCUGAACAUUGGAAGGAACAAACUCCGGACACACCAUCUUUAAGAACUGUAACACUCACUGCGAGGGUCUGCAGCUUUAUUCUUGAAGUCAGCCAGACUAAGAACUCACGGGAAGGAACCAGUUCCGGCCACAAGAACAGCAGCUGUUCAUGCCCAGAACUGUUUAUCAGGCGGGUCACUCCGUGGCCCCAUGCAGGCCUGAGGUCACCAGUUCCCUAUUUCAGGGGGCCACAAGCUGGGACUGAAGACAGCAAAGCUCAGGGCCAUGUACUAGCCCAGGAGUCAGAAGUCCACCAUCCAAAGCUGGGUCUGCCACCCUCUCACUCUGCAUCCUGUAGUGGAGUUCUCAGGAGCCCUGGGCUUCAAGCGUUCUUUUCGCUUAUAGAACGCAUCUUUUUUCCCCUCCAAUAUUUCAAGUUCCUGGAUGAGUUCCCAUCUGUCCCUGGGUGUAGCAUCACCACAGAUUCUUCGAUGGCUAGGAAGGACUCUAAUUUUUCUGUUUCUUAUAUUAGGUAGGACUUAUUUGGCUGUGUGUAAUAGAAAUCCCAAGUAACAGCGGCUGAAACAGGAUCAACAUCUCUUUCCUUCUACUGUAAAAGGCUAAAUGAAGGUGGCAGGAUGGCUCUGCGUUAAUCCCCAAACCGGGCUCUCCAGGCCACCUGCUUGGCUAUUCCUGGGAGGUAGUUCUGAAUUUCAUGGCUUAGGGGACUCCAGCCAUCACAUCCACGUCCCCCAGGCAGGAGGGAGAAAGCAAAAGGUGAGGCACGACCCUUCCUUUAGUGGAUCUCAUCCCAGAUGUUAUACACAACCCUUCCCCGACAUUACAUUGGUCGGCAAAGUCA
rnacentral:lncRNA from 1 species